GGGUGAGUAACACGUGAGUAACCUGCCCCUGACUCUGGGAUAAGCGUUGGAAACGACGUCUAAUACUGGAUAUGAUCACUGGCCGCAUGGUCUGGUGGUGGAAAGAUUUUUUGGUUGGGGAUGGACUCGCGGCCUAUCAGCUUGUUGGUGAGGUAAUGGCUCACCAAGGCGACGACGGGUAGCCGGCCUGAGAGGGUGACCGGCCACACUGGGACUGAGACACGGCCCAGACUCCUACGGGAGGCAGCAGUGGGGAAUAUUGCACAAUGGGCGAAAGCCUGAUGCAGCAACGCCGCGUGAGGGAUGACGGCCUUCGGGUUGUAAACCUCUUUUAGUAGGGAAGAAGCGAGAGUGACGGUACCUGCAGAAAAAGCACCGGCUAACUACGUGCCAGCAGCCGCGGUAAUACGUAGGGUGCAAGCGUUGUCCGGAAUUAUUGGGCGUAAAGAGCUCGUAGGCGGUUUGUCGCGUCUGCUGUGAAAUCCCGAGGCUCAACCUCGGGCUUGCAGUGGGUACGGGCAGACUAGAGUGCGGUAGGGGAGAUUGGAAUUCCUGGUGUAGCGGUGGAAUGCGCAGAUAUCAGGAGGAACACCGAUGGCGAAGGCAGAUCUCUGGGCCGUAACUGACGCUGAGGAGCGAAAGCAUGGGGAGCGAACAGGAUUAGAUACCCUGGUAGUCCAUGCCGUAAACGUUGGGCGCU
rnacentral:rRNA from 2 species